CUUGAAAUAGUUUAAAUAAAAACACAGGUUUUGGGGAUUUGAGAUUGCUUAGAGGAAGGUGUUUUAUGA
rnacentral:tRNA from 1 species